rnacentral:rRNA from 1 species
UCCGUAGGUGGAUAAUUAAGUCAGGGGUGAAAGUCUGCAGCUCAACUGUAGAAUUGCCCUUGAUACUGGUUGUCUUGAGUCAUUAUGAAGUAGUUAGAAUAUGUAGUGUAGCGGUGAAAUGCAUAGAUAUUACAUAGAAUACCAAUUGCGAAGACAGAUUACUAAUAAUGUACUGACACUGAUGGACGAAAGCGUGGGGAGCGAACAGGAUUAGAUACCCUGGUAGUCC